AAAGAAACUAACUAGGAUUCCCUUAGUAACGGCGAGUGAACCGGGAUGAGCUCAAAUUUAAAAUCUGGCGUCUUUCAGGCGUCCGAGUUGUAAUCUAUAGAGGCGUUUUCCGCGCCGGACCGCGUCCAAGUCCCUUGGAAUAGGGUAUCAAAGAGGGUGACAAUCCCGUACUUGACGCGACGACCGGUGCUCUGUGAUACGUUCUCAACGAGUCGAGUUGUUUGGGAAUGCAGCUCUAAAUGGGUGGUAAAUUCCAUCUAAGGCUAAAUAUUGGCGAGAGACCGAUAGCGAACAAGUACCGUGAGGGAAAGAUGAAAAGCACUUUGGAAAGAGAGUUAAACAGCACGUGAAAUUGUUAAAAGGGAAACGAUUGAAGUCAGUCGUGUGGGAGGUAUUCAGCCGUCUCUGGCGGUGUAUUUGCCUCUCACGGGUCAACAUCAGUUUGAUCCGGUAGAAAAAGGCGGGAGGAAGGUGGCACCCUCGGGUGUGUUAUAGCCUCCUGUCACAUGU
rnacentral:rRNA from 1 species